CGGCGUGCUUAACACAUGCAAGUCGAACGAAGCACUUAUGAUUGAGAUUUCGGUUGAUUGAAUAAGUGACUGAGUGGCGGACGGGUGAGUAACGCGUGGGUAACCUGCCUCAUACAGGGGGAUAACAGUUAGAAAUGGCUGCUAAUACCGCAUAAGCGCACAGGACCGCAUGGUCCAGUGUGAAAAACUCCGGUGGUAUGAGAUGGACCCGCGUUGGAUUAGAUAGUUGGCGGGGUAACGGCCCACCAAGUCGACGAUCCAUAGCCGGCCUGAGAGGGUGAACGGCCACAUUGGGACUGAGACACGGCCCAAACUCCUACGGGAGGCAGCAGUGGGGAAUAUUGCACAAUGGGGGAAACCCUGAUGCAGCGACGCCGCCGUGAGUGAAGAAGGUAUUUUCGGUAUGUAAAGCUUUUAUCAGCAGGGGAAGAAAAUGACGGUACCUUGACUAAGAAAGCCCCGGCUAACUACGUGCCAGCAGCCGCGGUAAUACGUAGGGGGCAAGCGUUGUCCGGAAUUAUUGGGCGUAAAGAGUACGUAGGCGGUCUGCUAAGCGCAAGGUGAAAGGCAGUGGCUCAACCAUUGUAAGCCUUGCGAACUGGCAGACUUGAGUGCAGGAGAGGAAAGCGGAAUUCCUAGUGUAGCGGUGAAAUGCGUAGAUAUUAGGAGGAACACCGGUGGCGAAGGCGGCUUUCUGGACUGUAACUGACGCUGAGGUACGAAAGCGUGGGGAGCAAACAGGAUUAGAUACCCUGGUAGUCCACGCCGUAAACGAUGAGCACUAGGUGUCGGGAUCGUAGGAUUUCGGUGCCGCAGUUAACGCAUUAAGUGCUCCGCCUGGGGAGUACGCACGCAAGUGUGAAACUCAAAGGAAUUGACGGGGACCCGCACAAGCAGCGGAGCAUGCGGUUUAAUUCGAAGCAACGCGAAGAACCUUACCAGGACUUGACAUCCCUCUGACAGACCCUUAACCGGGUCCUUCUUCGGACAGAGGAGACAGGUGGUGCAUGGUUGUCGUCAGCUCGUGUCGUGAGAUGUUGGGUUAAGUCCCGCAACGAGCGCAACCCUUGUUGCUAGUUACUAACAUUAAGUUGAGGACUCUAGUGAGACUGCCGGGGACAACUCGGAGGAAGGUGGGGAUGACGUCAAAUCAUCAUGCCCCUUAUGUUCUGGGCUACACACGUGCUACAAUGGCCGGUACAAAGAGAAGCAAAGUCGUGAGGCGGAGCAAAACUCAAAAACCGGUCCCAGUUCGGACUGCAGGCUGCAACUCGCCUGCACGAAGUUGGAGUUGCUAGUAAUCGUGGAUCAGAAUGCCACGGUGAAUGCGUUCCCGGGUCUUG
rnacentral:rRNA from 1 species